CUAGCGUAUCAAGUCUGCUAUAUAUAUAUGGUCGGAACGUCUGGUAGCAUCUCUGGCUGCUGUUGACCUUGUUUUUGGAGUAAAACACGGUGGAAGCUGAAUUAGUGAGGAUGACUCCUGCUCCUGUCAUCUCUAAGCUCCUCACACAUCUUUACCUGCACAUGAGGAAAAUCACUCCUGUAGAAUGCAGAUGUUCAGAGGGAGAUGAUGCCACAUCUGGUCCAGCUGAUGGAAGGUCUUGAAGUUCUCUGACUGGCCUCGACUGAAGAUGGUCGUCUCACUGGAUUUAAGAUGCACAAUGAGGGACGUCUGCAGAGACUGAGAAAGAGUCUCACCACAUCCUGACAUGAGGAAAAAGACUUUAUUGAAGACUACAAUGAGAAAAACUAUCAGACAGCAGACGGCUGCAUUCAAGUCUGUAGCUGCUGAAUUCAUGGAUGAAUCAUCUGGUACUAGAGAGGAAGACCAUCAAACAUCCACGUCAGCUGAUGGAGGUCCAAGAGUCUCACCAAACAAACAACCUACAGAGUGAAGACCUCAAAUCUGAUUGGACGGCCUCCUAUUCAGCCACAUUUUAGGCUGUUAGAUUGUUCCAGAUAAGACGAGUACAAGAUUCUUCAGAGCCGUUCUACCACGAGCCUGACAGGAAGAACUCCAACAGCUACUGAAUGUUCCUGUGGUUCCGUCAAGGCUACAGGAGGAGCCCUAUGAGGACGAGCCGGUCCACCUGAUGGUGGCCAGUCGCUGCGGUUCAAAGCCAACACUGACUACGUGGACUUCUACUGGACCACACGGAGGCCUUCAAACCGGACCAACAAGUUCAGUGACUCCCCGACUCAUGGGUCUGAGGACGCCGCCGAGCCUCGGUCCAGCCGGCCUCCUGUCUGUGGGUGUUUGAGUGCUGAGAGGUUUGUGGAUGUAUGUGAACGUUCUGUGUUGAAACAGCAGCUUUGGACUCAGUAACGCCGGGAAAAACCAAGAGCUCCUUUAUUUGUGACUUCCACUAAAAAACUGAUGAAAAUAAGUUUGGCAGGGUUCUGACUGAUAACAG
ensembl:lncRNA